GACCAUAUGUAUGUCUUCUUUUGAGAAGUUUUUGUCAUGAAAUCUAUUUCGUCCCAUGUAAUGAUUCCUGGUGAAACAACAAAAGAAAAGAGCAUGCAUGAGCACCACUGCUUCUACCUGAUGAAUAGCAAAAAGGAUUUAAAAAAAGGCCUCUUCCACUCCAUUGGGACUACCUUUGAAAACAGUGUGAAGUUGGGGGCUGACAUUUCUUUGUUAGCACACAGGAGUACAAUAUCUCCAGAAAGUCUUGGCCACACAAGUAGGAAGGAAAUUUGCCAUUCUAUGCAAGUCCUUAAAAGUUAAAAGUACUUGGUUAUGACUUGUUUAUACGUGGGACAUUUGCCUUUUUGUGCCUGGAUCUUGCAACUCAAAUAGGCUAUAUUUCACAAUAGCCCUGUUAAUUUUACAAAGAUAGUUUCCUUAUACUUACUUGAAGUGAUAAAUUGCUUCAUCAUGAACACAUAACCUUUUGUUGUGACUUCUUGGCAUAAACAGUUUCAAUAUAUCUAAUAUAUACUGUCGCAAAGAGUAGUUUUUCUACAAUGUUGUAAAUUCACACUCUUAAAAAAUAUUUUAAGUCAUUUUAAUUUUGUGUUGUUUCCCAACAUUAUUGUGACUAUCAAUUAUUUUACCAAAUAUUUAUUUCAUAAAUCCUUAAUAAGAAUUUCUAUUAAUAAGUUUAUUAUGUAUGAGUGUAUCAAGAGUUAUAAUUACAUUUCAUCACUAAAGAAAAUAAUUUAACUUGAUAGAAGUUGGUAUAGCUUCCUCCAUAAUUACAUAAUAACUUGCAUUGAGUUUCAAGUAUAGAAACGUUAUUUCAAUUUCUAAUAAUUCCUUGUACUUAAA
rnacentral:lncRNA from 1 species